AUGAACGCUGGCGGCGUGCCUAAUACCUGCAAGUCGAGCGAACAGACGAGGAGCUUGCUCCUCUGACGUUAGCGGCGUACGGGUGAGUAACACGUGGAUAACCUACCUAUAAGACUGGGAUAACUUCGGGAAACCGGAGCUAAUACCGGAUAAUAUAUUGAACCGCAUGGUUCAAUAGUGAAAGACGGUUUUGCUGUCACUUAUAGAUGGAUCCGCGCCGCAUUAGCUAGUUGGUAAGGUAACGGCUUACCAAGGCAACGAUGCGUAGCCGACCUGAGAGGGUGAUCGGCCACACUGGAACUGAGACACGGUCCAGACUCCUACGGGAGGCAGCAGUAGGGAAUCUUCCGCAAUGGGCGAAAGCCUGACGGAGCAACGCCGCGUGAGUGAUGAAGGUCUUCGGAUCGUAAAACUCUGUUAUUAGGGAAGAACAAAUGUGUAAGUAACUAUGCACGUCUUGACGGUACCUAAUCAGAAAGCCACGGCUAACUACGUG
rnacentral:rRNA from 1 species